rnacentral:tRNA from 1 species
GCACUCGUAGCUCAGCAGGAUAGAGCGACGGUUUCCUAAACCGCAGGUCGGGGGUUCGAAUCCCUCCGGGUGCA